UUUUUAUUUUUUAAAAAUUAUUUUUAAAAUUAAUGUAUUAAAAUAAUAAAAAAAUAUAAAAAAAAUUAAUUUUUAGUUAAAAAUAACAAAAAAAAAUUAAUUUUUUUUUUGAAAACGCGGGCAAACGGGCUCUUUAUACAUAGUUUGAAACAAUGUUUGGUUUCAGACUUACUUACUCGAUGGGUUUUUUCUUUUUAUGUAUUUCAUUUCACUUCUCUGUUGUUGGAUUCAUAUUUAGGUAUGUUUUCCUGCCGUGUACAGUGACAUCCUCUCUGGGGUUGGAUAGAUAAUUUCUAGUUUUUACAGGACAUGAGUAUGAAUAACGAUAAAGAUGAAAAUGUUUUUAGGUUAAAUUAGGUUCAUAUGCAGUAUUUUCCUUUUCAAGGGUGGAAAAAUGGGAGAAUUCUUGGUGAUUCUUGCUGCUGCUGCUUUCAUAAUAAGUUGCGGGGGUCAAGUCCAGUCAGAUGUAUCUGAUCAUCGCUAUAAAGCUGGAGAUCUGAUCCCUUGCUAUGCGAGGGGAACUGGUCCAUUUCACAAUCUCAGGUUUUGUCAAUGAGAAGAAGCAAACUCUACGUGACAUAUUGACUGGGGAUCAAUAUUUAACUUCUCCAUAUAAACUUGAAUUCCUAGUAAAUGAAGAUUCUGAAUUUGUGUGCGAAAGGAACUUGACAAAGGAAGAAGUUUUGAAGUUACAAGAUGCAGUUGGGAAGGACUAUUACAUUCAAAUGUACUGUGAUGACAUGCCAAUUUGGACAUUUAUAGGAAGAAUGGACAACAAAAAGAAAAGAUAUUUUCUCUACAUGGAUUUUGAUUUCAGCAUAUAUUACAAUAAGGAACAUCUGAUCGAGAUUUCUGCUUGAACUGACCUUUCUGAUUGUGUGGAACUGAUUGAGGAAAGGGAAGUUCACAUGAAAAUGAAAUAUACUGUGACAUGGAAGGAAACUAGCAGCCCUUUUGAGAAAAGGAUGGAAAAGUACUUUGGUGAUUCCUCACUGCCAUAUAUCUGGGAGAUCCGUUGGUUUUCAAUCUUAAAUUCAUGUGUUACUAUUCUCUUCCUAACUGGUCAGAUUUCGAUGUAUUACUUGUGAAUCCUUAAGAAAGAUCUUGAGUAAGAAUAUCGUGAAUCUGUGAUGUCUACCCAAAGUUCAAACUAUUUUUUUUAAAUUCUUUUUUCCUUUGGAUUAUUGAACUCUCUUACAUGCGUUUCCAUGAUGAGGAGUUAUUUGAAAACCAAGACAAGACGGGAUGGAAGUUUAUCCAUGGUAAUGUGUUCCGAUACCCAUACUACAAGUCAUUGUUUGCUGCUGCUGUUGGUUCUGGAACUCAGUUGUUUACCCUGUAUGUCCAUGCUUUGAAAUUAUUCACCCUGUAUUCUCUAAUUUGAUUAAAUUAUCUUAAAAUUAUUGAUUAUUUUGUGAA